rnacentral:rRNA from 1 species
UUCACGAAACUAAAAUGUGAGGGUGAUAAUGUAAAGAAUGAGUAGCUAAAUAUGUGGGGUUUGUAAUUCGGGAAAUUAGACGUAAAACAAAUAAUCUUGAAAGCAAAGUAAAGGAACUCGGCAAAAAUGAAAACCGCCUGUUUAACAAAAACAUGGCUCCUUGAUAACAUAAGGAGUCGUGCCUUCCCGGUGAGUUUAAGCUUAAACGGAUGCGGUAAAGCGUGCUAAGGUAGCUAAGUUAUGGCCU